GGGACAGCCAACAAUUGACCGGUGGGCGACUGUCCCAGUUUUCUCUCCUUCUACAUCUAGUCCUCUUCCUUCAUCCCCACCUCUCCCUUCCACCAACCCCCGCCGUCGGCGUAUGGAAGCCACGGGCUCCCCUAUGCAUCCUCACCGGAUUCCGACCCCCAGCACUCUCCGCUCAUCCGUGCCGCACGCCGCCACUUCCUCCCCCACAGGAACACCUCGAGGUUGAACCCGACGUGUCCUACCCGUUGCCCGAGGUCAAAGUUUGUUCAUCAUCCGAGUUCAUUUAGAUACAAGAGGAUGCUGCCAUUUCUCAUGGAGAGCGGUGGCCAAGCUCAGAAAAUUUUCUGAAGAUAAACAAACUGUCAUCAGAUGAGAUUUAAUCUGCCACCGUAGAAGUUUCUCUGGAGAGCAGUGCAGAAAGCCACACCAGAAAAAGAGUUAGCUUCAGUUGGGGACCCACUGCCAUGCGUACAUUGCUCCAAAGGUUUUGCAGGUUAUGGGAGUAAAGGAGCUGCUCUAGAUUUGUGCACAUCAUUCUCAGCUACAAAGUCACAUAUACUACUGUGUGGAAAGAUCAAACGAAAAAAACAACAAACCAGAUUAUUGUCUAGUUUGUAGCUAUGUUUUCAUAGUACCUACAAAAUACAUUUCUUUUUUUGGUACAUGGACAUAUGUCCUGCUGUUUUAUGUGUGAAAUAAGACUCUCUAUGCGCUCUCCUAUAUAUUUGCACAUUUUCUGCAUUUUUUGCACAUAGUGCUACAAAUGUUGGCUUGUCACAUGAUUUGGUUGCAUGGAAAUCAGUUAAAAUUGCACAGGUA